GAUGAAGAACGCAGCGAAAUGCGAUAAGUAAUGUGAAUUGCAGAAUUCAGUGAAUCAUCGAAUCUUUGAACGCACAUUGCGCCCCCUGGUAUUCCGGGGGGCAUGCCUGUCCGAGCGUCAUUACAACCCUCAAGCUCAGCUUGGUGUUGGGCCCCGCCGCCCCGGCGGGCCCUAAAGUCAGUGGCGGUGCCGUCCGGCUCCGAGCGUAGUAAUUCUUCUCGCUCUGGAGGUCCGGUCGUGUGCUCGCCAGCAACCCCCAAUUUUUUUCAGGUUGACCUCGGAUCAGGUAGGGAUACCCGCUGAACUUAAGCAUAUCAAUAAGCGGAGGA
rnacentral:misc_RNA from 1 species